GGUUGAUCCUGCCAGUAGUCAUAUGCUUGUCUCAAAGAUUAAGCCAUGCAUGUCUGAGUACAGACCGAUCUAAGGUGAAACCGCGAAUGGCUCAUUAAAUCAGUCAUAAUUUCUUGGAUAGUGAAAAACUUCCUCGGAUAACUGUGGAAAAUCCAGAGCUAAUACGUGCAACUGAGCUCCGACCUCGACGAAAGUUGAGGGAAGAGCGCAUUUAUUAGAUUCAAAACUGACCGUCGUACUCCUCCGGGAUGCGUCGUUUGUCAUAUUGAUGACUCCGGAUAACUAAGCCGAGCGCUACGGUCCUUGUACCGGCGCCGUAUCUUUCAAGUGUCUGCCUUAUCAGCUUUCGAUUGUAGGUUAAACGCCUACAAUGGCUGUAACGGGUAACGGGGAAUCAGGGUUCGAUUCCGGAGAGGGAGCCUGAGAAACGGCUACCACAUCUAAGGAAGGCAGCAGGCGCGCAAAUUACCCACUCCCAGCUCGGGGAGGUAGUGACGAAAAAUAACGAUGCGAGACUCUUCCGAGGCCUCGCAAUCGGAAUGAGUCCAUUCUAAAUCCUUGGACGAGGAUCCAUUGGAGGGCAAGUCUGGUGCCAGCAGCCGCGGUAAUUCCAGCUCCAAUAGCGUAUAUUAAAGUUGCUGCGGUUAAAAAGCUCGUAGUUGGAUCUCCUAGAUCCAAAUCGUGAACGGGUCGCUCGUUGUACGCGCGUCUUCGCGGUCCCUCGCGAGGCGCUCGCUCGCACGGUACGACGCUGCGUCAAUUGCUACCGCCUCGAAGUGGUCCAUCGUGGCUUGCCGAGGGGUUGGUGGUGUUUUCGUGCUCGUUCGUCGGACGAUGUCGCUGAACGUGUGGACGGAUGACGUAGUCUUCGGGUAUUGCCCGUUCGCGUUUGGUACAAUUAAAAUUUUGUCGGCUCGCUCGGAGUGCUCUUUACCGAGUGUUCCAGGGUGGCCGACACGUUCACUUUGAAAAAAUUAGAGUGCUUAAAGCGGGCUAUAAAGUCGCCUGAAUGUUGUUGCAUGGAAUGAAAGAACAGGACCUCGGUUCUGUUCUUUUUGUCGGUUUUAUUGAACCGAGGUAAUGAUUAAAAGGAACAGACGGUGGCAUUAGUAUUGCGACGCUAGAGGUGAAAUUCUUGGACCGUCGCACGACUAACUACUGCGAAAGCAUUUGCCGAGCAUGUUUUCAUUAAUCAAGAACGAAAGUUAGAGGAUCGAAGGCGAUCAGAUACCGCCCUAGUUCUAACCCUAAACUAUGCUAACUAGCGAUCCGCCGGAGUCAUUCCCACGACCCGGCGGGAAGCCCCAGGGAAACCAAAGUCUUUGAGUUCCGGGGGAAGUAUGGUUGCAAAGCUGAAACUUAAAGGAAUUGACGGAAGGGCACCACCAGGAGUGGAGCCUGCGGCUUAAUUUGACUCAACACGGGAAACCUCACCAGGCCCGGACAUCAGAAGGAUUGACAGAUUGAGAGCUCUUUCUCGAUUCGAUGGGUGGUGGUGCAUGGCCGUUCUUAGUUGGUGGAGUGAUCUGUCUGGUUGAUUCCGAUAACGAACGAGACUCUACCCUACUAACUAGUCGGCGGAUCGUAACCCUGUGCUGGGGGGCUCUGAAGUUUGCUUUGCGGGCGGUGUUAGCGUCGAAAGCGGGUUCGUCUUGUACGGGCUCGUCUAGUCGCGAAGCGCCGUUCUUGCGAGUGUGACCGAGGUGACUCUUACUGGGGGCGUCCGUCGCAAUGUAUCUUCUUAGAGGGAUCAGCGGCGUCUAGCCGCACGAGAAAGAGCAAUAACAGGUCUGUGAUGCCCUUAGAUGUUCUGGGCCGCACGCGCGCUACAAUGUGCGGAUCAGCGUGCCACCCCGCUCCGAAAGGAGUGGGUAACCCGUUGAAACCCGCACCCAAUUGGGAUUGGGGAUUGCAAAUGUUUCCCAUAAACGAGGAAUUCCCAGUAAUCGUGAAUCAUUAAUUCGCGCUGAUUACGUCCCUGCCCUUUGUACACACCGCCCGUCGCUACUACCGAUUGAAUGAUUCAGUGAGGUCAUCGGAUUGGCUCCUUCGGUUGAAACAUACCUUAGGUUGACGAAAAGACGUCCGAACUCGAUCAUUUAGAGGAAGUAAAAGUCGUAACAAGGUUUCCGUAGGUGAACCUGCGGAAGGAUC
rnacentral:rRNA from 1 species